UUUGUCCCUAACUCUGAUGCAUGAGAGGAGAGAGGAGAAUGAAAGGCACCUGACGCUGGAGCGCCCAUAAGACAGAUACGAAGAUAAUUGGCUGUGCUGCAACAAGAGGGGGCUUGCGGAUGAGAGGCUCACCAGGUCCUGCUCCCAUUUGACAGGCCAGUACAGUUUUAUCUACAAACUCUUCUCAUAUGUGUCUGCUGCUACUUAGUUGUACAUACUCACAUUUAUAGUGGGAACACAUUUAGUUGGGUGUAUAUAUUUAUUAGUGCUAGACAAUAAGAGCAGUAGUUUUGUGGGUAAAAAGAAAGGCUUGGCAAUAGACUGACCAGUUGAAAGGGCUGAUUAAGUACCGUAGUAUUGUUGAAUUAAAAGAGCAUUUCCAAAGGUCUAAAUUUUGCUGAAACGUGUGGAUGUGGUUUGUCAUUGCUGCUUGGUAAAAUCACACAGAUUGAUCUUUUACGGGUGUUGAUAAGUUUUAGGCCUCAGGGGAUGCUUCAUGAGAAGCACUAGGGGACAAUCGCGCCCACUCAGAGGACCUGUAAACCCUGAUAGGGGGACAGAACCUGGAUUUUAGGGGUGCCCAGAAGACCUAAAAGGGGGGUGUCAGCUGGUAGUGUCAGGGCCAGAACAAGAGCCAACCAUUGAAGUGAAAGUGAAUGAUAAACCAUUGACAGUUAUGGCAGAUUGCGGAGCUGCUUUCACCUGUGUUGAGAAUAAUUUUAAAGUGGGGAAAAGUUUCAUAAAAAAAAUCCUGAGUACACCCCAUAAUGUCCUCAAUGAGCUGAAUUUUUGAAGCCCAGAAUAGUUUCUGUAGCUCAAAGUUUGUGGGUGGAGAUAGGUGGUGAUGCAGACACAUAUUAACUGUGUGUACAUGCAGGUCUUUUAGACACACACACACGUGCACACACAUUGCCAGACUGUGUGUGUGUGUGUGUGUGUCGUUAAUGAUAGCAUCCUAAACAGCUGUGAGAUUAAAGGCAUUAACUGACCGACUGUUUGAAUGAGAAGCUGCCUCUGGACUUCUUCACAUAGCACGAUUUCCUUAUAACUAUAGUAAGGAAACAUUGAGCUCUGUGAGGAGAGGUGUGCUGAAGUUUGAGUGUGUGAGAGAAGCUUCUGGUGUGUGUGGGUGUGAGAGGAGUGUGUGUAUGGGUGCUGAGCUGUGUGUGUGAGGGCAAAAGAGUCUGUGUGCAGUGAGUGGUGUGUGCACAAAGUUGGGGAAUGGUCUAGCAUAAAUAUAAGUGAUUAACUUAUGAUAAAGUGAUGAAUGAUGUCUUAUUAAAUAUAUAAUGAUAUGAUAUAAGAAAUUAACAUAUAAGGGAAGAGAUACUGUUGCCUUUGUAGUGUUAAAAACAUAUGAGCCCUGUUUUUCUUUGUACAGGGACGUUAAUAGAAUAAGUAACUGCUAUGAGCCUCUCAGGAUAAAGAGGACGUUUGUACACCUAAUAGUAAGAAAUGAGCCCCUUAUUAGAUGAGGAGGACUUUGGAUGGUGAUAACAUCCUCGAUUAAAAUGGCAAUUAAAGAAGUGUACACAAGCACAUUUGUGUUCAUACAGAUACAGGGAAAAAACAGAGUAACAGAGUGGGGUAAAAUAAAAUGAUUUGCUAACUGAUGGGUAUGGUUUUCCUCUGUGUGUGUGUGAAUAUUUAAAGUGAAUGGUCACUUGCUGAUGAUUAUGUUUAGAGGGAAAAUCCCAGUUAAAAAUUGGAAAAAUCCAUGGAGCUUUCUCUCCCGCUUUCUUUCUCUUCUUGCAGGCCUGAGAACAGAAAGAAAGCUAAAAAAUCUAGUUUAACUAUCCUAGAUGUGUGAAAAUUUUAAAUGGUAUACCAUGGUAAAGGGGAAUGGUGUAUAAUAAAUUUAGGUAGUCUUAUGGUAGAAGAAAUCUUUAAUUAGUGGUAGGAAAUGUUGUUUUCAAGUUUAUUGAGUGAAUUGAUUGUAAUAUACUAAACAUUUGAUUUGUUCUUUGUCCCUAACUCUGAUGCAUGAGAGGAGAGAGGAGAAUGAAAGGCACCUGACGCUGGAGCGCCCAUCAGAGAGGCUCACCAGGUCCUGCUCCCAUUUGACAGGCCAGUACAGUUUUAUCUACAAACUCUUCUCCUAUGUGUCUGCUGCUACUUAGUUGUACAUACACACAUUUAUAGUGGGAACACAUUUAGUUGGGUGUAUAUAUUUAUUAGUGCUAGACAAUAAGAGCAGUAGUUUUGUGGGUAAAAAGAAAGGCUUGGCAAUAGACUGACCAGUUGAAAGGGCUGAUUAAGUACCGUAGUAUUGUUGAAUUAAAAGAGCAUAUCCAAGAGGUCUAAAUUUUGCUGAAACGUGUGGAUGUGGUUUGUCAUUGCUGCUCGGUAAAAUCACACAGAUUGAUCUUUUACGGGUGUUGAUAAGUCUUAG
rnacentral:lncRNA from 1 species